GUGUCAGCAGCCGCGGUAAUACGGAGGGUGCGAGCGUUGUCCGGAAUCACUGGGCGUAAAGGGCGCGUAGGUGGCGCGGGCAGUCAACGGUGAAAGUUCGGGGCUCAACCCUGAAUCGGCCGUCGAUACUCCCGUGCUUGAGCACUGUAGAGGCAGAUGGAAUUCCGGGUGUAGCGGUGGAAUGCGUAGAGAUCCGGAAGAACACCGGUGGCGAAGGCGGUCUGCUGGGCAGUAGCUGACACUGAGGCGCGACAGCGUGGGGAGCAAACAGGAUUAGAUACCCUCGUAGUCC
rnacentral:rRNA from 1 species